UACGGGGGGAGCAAGCGUUGUUCGGAUUUACUGGGCGUAAAGGGCGCGUAGGCGGCCACCGCAAGUCGACUGUGAAAUCUCCGGGCUUAACCCGGAAAGGUCAGCCGAUACUGCGGGGCUAGAGUGCAGAAGGGGCAACUGGAAUUCUCGGUGUAGCGGUGAAAUGCGUAGAUAUCGGGAGGAACACCGGUGGCGAAGGCGGCCAUCUGGACGGAUACUGACGCUGAGGCGCGAAAGCGUGGGUAGCAAACAGG
rnacentral:rRNA from 1 species